CCCGUUCCCAUACCGAACACGGUAGUUAAGCUCAUUUGUGCUGAAAAUACUUGGUGGGAAGCUGCCUGGGAAGAUAAGUCGAUGCCGACA
rnacentral:rRNA from 1 species